rnacentral:rRNA from 1 species
GUCUAUGGCCAUACCACCCUGAAAGUAUCCGAUCUUGUCUGAUCUGGGAAGCUAAGCAGGGUCGGGCCUGGUUAAUACUUGGAUGGGAGAAAGCAAGCCUACCAACC